rnacentral:sRNA from 1 species
AACCAGGGGAGCAGCAAAGAGGCAGUAGGGGGCUGCCAGUGAGAGAUGGGGGGGCAACAGCUGCAAGGUGGACAUUGAGCAGCUGGAUCCCCGCGGCCGGACUCCCCUGCACCUGGCCACCACGCUGGGGCACCUUGAGUGUGCCCGUGUGCUCCUGGCGCACGGCGCAGACGUGGGCAGGGAGAAUCGCAGCGGCUGGACAGGUGGGCAGCCCUGCUCACCCCAGCCCCACAGCCGGGGCCUCCCCAGCAUCAUAGACCUAUGGUUGGCUGAAGGGUCCUGCCCUGUGACCUUGCCUCCCCCUCCCCCAGUGCUCCAGGAGGCUGCCCAGGACUUCUACGUGGAGAUGAAAUGGGAGUUCACUAGCUGGGUGCCCCUGGUGUCCAAGAUCUGCCCUAGUGACACCUACAAAGUGUGGAAGAGCGGCCAGAACCUGAGGGUAGACACCACACUCCUGGGCUUUGACCACAUGACCUGGCAGCGAGGGAACCGCAGCUUUGUCUUCAGGGGCCAAGACACAAGCGCCGUGGUCAUGGAGAUUGACCACGACCGCCGGGUGGUGUACACAGAGACUCUGGCACUGGCUGGGCAGGACCGGGAGCUGCUGCUGGCUGCUGCUCAGCCCACUGAGGAACAGGUGCUGAGCCGGCUUACCGCGCCCGUCGUCACCACUCAGCUUGACACCAAGAAUAUCUCCUUUGAGAGGUGGGUGGACAUGGCCUUGGUCACCCUUGAGCCAGCCCGGUGGGGUGCCUGCCUCACCUGGACCACUCUGCUUCCCCAGGAACAAGACUGGCAUCCUGGGCUGGCGCAGUGAAAAGACGGAGAUGGUGAAUGGGUAUGAAGCUAAGGUGUAUGGGGCAUCUAACGUGGAGCUCAUCACCCGCACACGGACAGAACAUCUUUCAGAACAGCACAAGGGCAAGGUCAAAGGCUGUAAGACACCUUUGCAGUCCUUCCUGGGAAUCGCUGAGCAGCACGGGGGCCCCCAAAAUGGGACCCUGAUCACUCAGACUCUGAGCCAAGCCAACCCCACUGCCAUCACUGCAGAAGAAUACUUCAACCCCAACUUUGAGCUGGGCAACCGUGAUAUGGGCCGCCCCAUGGAACUGACCACCAAGACACAGAAGUUCAAGGCCAAGCUGUGGCUGUGUGAGGAGCAUCCCCUGUCCCUGUGUGAGCAGGUGGCCCCUAUCAUUGACCUCAUGGCCGUCAGCAAUGCGCUUUUUGCCAAGCUCCGGGACUUCAUCACCCUGCGUCUGCCUCCUGGCUUCCCAGUUAAGAUUGAAAUCCCGAUCUUCCACAUCCUCAACGCCCGCAUCACCUUCGGGAACCUCAACGGCUGCGACGAACCGGUGCCAUCGGUGCGAGGCAGCCCCAGCAGCGAGACGCCUUCCCCAGGCAGCGACUCCUCCAGCGUCAGCAGCUCCAGCUCCACGACCUCCUGCCGCGGCUGCGAGAUCUCCCCGGCGUUGUUCGAGGCCCCGCGCGGCUACAGCGUGAUGGGCGGCCAGCGGGAGGCGGCGACCCGGGACGACGACGACGACCUGCUGCAAUUCGCCAUCCAGCAGAGCCUGCUUGAGGCGGGCAGUGAGUAUGACCAGGUGCGUCUCCGCGGGCGCGCGGGGCCACGGGACUCCGCGCCGCCACGGCUAACGCCCACGCCUCCCCGCAGGUCACCAUCUGGGAGGCGCUAACCAACAGCAAGCCAGGCACCCACCCCAUGUCCUACGAGGGUCGCCGACAGGACAGGAGCGCCCCGCCCACGCCGCAGCGCCAGCCUGCGCCCCCGGCGUCAGUGCCCAGCCCUCGGCCCAGCUCAGGGCCAGGUUCCGGCGGCCACGUGUUCCGGAGCUACGACGAGCAGCUGCGGCUGGCGAUGGAACUGUCGGCGCAGGAGCAGGAGGAGAGGCGGCGGCGCGCGCGCCAGGAGGAGGAGGAGCUGGAGCGCAUCCUGAGGCUCUCACUGACCGAGCAGUAGCGCCCCCUGCCGGGACCCUCGCCAGCGCCACGCGCGCCACGCCCAGGGCCAGGAGCCAGACAAACCUCGGCCUGCGCGCCUGCAGAGCGGCGGCUGGAGACUGGAGCCACCGCCUCGCGGGUGCAGCAGCACAGCAGGGAGUGUGUCCAACGUAGCCCCCUGGCCUGUGCAAGCCCUGACUCCCUCAUGGUGCCUCGGAGAGUGGGGAGCAUAUUGGGCUGGGGUAAGCACUAGACCCGAGUAGACUGGACACAAAGGGCUCGCCCAGGGCCCAGGCGCCACCCCCACCCCUUCCCACCAGCUGCUGCUAGCCUCUGUGGUUGUACAUCCCACUUGCCCCCACACGGAGACUGACUCUAAAACCCUUCAUCCAAUGGUGCUAACCCCCGGCUCUCCCCUGCCCCACCUCACCCACCCAGAGAAGCACAGACCCCGCCAGGGGCAGGGGCCCACCGCACACCCUCGUCCCGGGCCUGUCUGGGACUGGCCUUCCCGGCUCAGCCAGUGAGGCUCAGAAGGGACACAAAGAGGGAUGGAAGAAAAGAACAAAGAGAAACUGUUCCUCCCACCCCCUUCCCUGAUGCCAGGGGCACCAGACUGAUUCUGAGGCACAAAUAAAAGAGGCUUCAUACCGG